rnacentral:rRNA from 1 species
UACGUAGGGGGCUAGCGUUGUCCGGAAUCAUUGGGCGUAAAGCGCGUGUAGGCGGUCCGGUAAGUCCGCUGUGAAAGUCGAGGGCUCAACCCUCGAAUGCCGGUGGAUACUGUCGGGCUUGAGUACGGGAGAGGCGAGUGGAAUUCCUGGUGUAGCGGUGAAAUGCGCAGAUAUCAGGAGGAACACCGAUUACGAAGGCAGCUCGCUGGAACGUUACUGACGCUGAGACGCGAAAGCGUGGGGAGCAAACAGG